rnacentral:rRNA from 1 species
AGUGAACGCUGGCGGUAGGCCUAACACAUGCAAGUCGAACGGCAGCACAGGAGAGCUUGCUCUCUGGGUGGCGAGUGGCGGACGGGUGAGGAAUACAUCGGAAUCUACCUUGUCGUGGGGGAUAACGUAGGGAAACUUACGCUAAUACCGCAUACGACCUUCGGGUGAAAGUGGGGGACCGCAAGGCCUCACGCGAUUAGAUGAGCCGAUGUCGGAUUAGCUAGUUGGCGGGGUAAAAGCCCACCAAGGUGACGAUCCGUAGCUGGUCUGAGAGGAUGAUCAGCCACACUGGAACUGAGACACGGUCCAGACUCCUACGGGAGGCAGCAGUGGGGAAUAUUGGACAAUGGGCGCAAGCCUGAUUCAGCCAUACCGCGUGGGUGAAGAAGGCCUUCGGGUUGUAAAGCCCUUUUGUUGGGAAAGAAAUCUUGCCGGUUAAUACCUGGCGAGGAUGACGGUACCCAAAGAAUAAGCACCGGCUAGCUUCGUGCCAGCCGCCGCCGUAAUAC